rnacentral:rRNA from 2 species
AGUGAAGCGGGAAAAGCUCAAAUUUAAAAUCUGGUGGUCUUCGGCCAUCCGAGUUGUAAUCUAGAGAAGUGUUACCCGCGUCGGACCGUGUACAAGUCUCCUGGAAUGGAGCGUCAUAGAGGGUGAGAAUCCCGUCUUUGACACGGACUACCGAGGCUUUGUGGUGCGCUCUCAAAGAGUCGAGUUGUUUGGGAAUGCAGCUCAAAAUGGGUGGUAAAUUCCAUCUAAAGCUAAAUAUUGGCGAGAGACCGAUAGCGAACAAGUACCGUGAGGGAAAGAUGAAAAGAACUUUGGAAAGAGAGUUAAACAGUACGUGAAAUUGCUGAAAGGGAAACGCUUGAAGUCAGUCGCGUUGGCCGGAAAUCAGCCUUCCUUUUGGUUGGUGUACUUUCUGGUUGACGGGCCAGCAUCAGUUUUGACCGGUGGAUAAAGUUGUGAGGAAUGUGGCAUCUUCGGGUGUGUUAUAGCCUCGCUUCGUAUACAUCGGUUGGGACUGAGGAACUCACACGCCGAAAGGCCGGGGUUCGCCCACGUUCGUGCUUAGAUGCUGGCAUAAUGGCUUUAAUCACCCGUCUUGAAACACUUU